CUGAGAAAAUAUUUUUCAUGACUGAUUUGUAAAUGUGUUGUAUGAUAUAGAAAUCAUAGAUGUGAAUAUCUUUGUAUUAUAAGAAUGUCUAUGAUUGUGUGGACGUUAGUUCUCUGUGUCCUGAUGUACGGACCUGUGACUGAGGCCUGUCCUAGUGGCUGUAGCUGUAGGAGGAGUACCCGAUGUAAUGGGACAGAUGUAGACUGUAGUUAUGAAGGGUUAACUGAAGUACCUACCAACAUCCCCACAGAUACAUGUUCAAUUGUGACAAAGAACUGCGGUCAAUUCAUCGCGACAUUACAUGUAGCCAGGUGUGCCCCACCAUUGACAUGCACAUCGGGAACUAUUCUACCUGUUCGAUCCUACUG